UGCCACACGGGGUAAAGGUGCUCAAGAGAGCUGGUGAGUUUUUCUGAGACCUGAGGACCAAAUCAGCUCUUGUGUGUGAAGACAGAAACUAUGUCAGAAGGCUCUCUUGACUAAGCAAUAAGCUUAUUAAUGUGUGGAAAUGGAAAUGCAACCACACAAGAAGCAGAAACAAGCAUGGGCCAUCAAGGGCAGGGAGAAAUAUCUCCCCUGGCUGUGUGCAGUCAGCUCUAGUUUGAAUGUAAGAGAAUAUUUUGAGUUGGUCUUCAUCAUCACCCAGAAUCACACUACUGGGAAUGGCAGCAGUAUCCUUUGGCACUGUGAAGUCACCUCCAGAAAUAGUGGCUCAUGGCUCUCUUCAGGUUAUUCCAAUAUCAUACGCCAGUUCAUCCCCAGCUUCUCUGUGAAGGAAGAUGCUCAGCCCCUGGCUGUAUGUUGUGUGGAUGCACGCCUUCCAGGUGAUUUGGAGAGCAAACACCAGCUAUCCUCUUUUCCAUUUCAAAAAUGGAAAGGACAGGGAGACAAGCCAAACUAAAAGUCAAUCUGCAAAAAUAUAUGCUUGAGUUCCUGUGCAAGUUUGUGAAGAGAAGGGUCCUAUGUUUUUAGAAAGUAGUAGUAUUUCAUAUCGUAUCGUAUUUGUAUACAGUUGCUGUACAUUUUUGCUUCAAGUGGUUACACGUCAACAUUUGUAAAAUGAAACCAUAUGGUGUGGUUAUUAUUUCCAAUGUCAACUGUUACUAGACUUAAACACCCACCUUCUCUGGACAUAUUUUUUUUUUCCAUGCAUUAGAGUACACUGCUGAAGAGUCUUUUGUUUUGCUUUAAUUUAUGUUUGUUUGAGGCCCAGUGCAAUAGAAGAUUCAUUUUGGUGGAAGACUACCUGGCAUUAAUGCAAUACAAACAAUAAGCGGUAAUAAAAAUUUGUUGUUGUUGUUUGCA
rnacentral:lncRNA from 1 species